rnacentral:rRNA from 1 species
AUUGAACGCUGGCGGCAGGCCUAACACAUGCAAGUCGAACGGUAACAGGAAGCAGCUUGCUGCUUUGCUGACGAGUGGCGGACGGGUGAGUAAUGUCUGGGAAACUGCCUGAUGGAGGGGAUAACUACUGGAAACGGUAGCUAAUACCGCAUAACGUCGCAAGACCAAAGAGGGGGACCUUCGGGCCUCUUGCCAUCGGAUGUGCCCAGAUGGGAUUAGCUAGUAGGUGGGGUAACGGCUCACCUAGGCGACGAUCCCUAGCUGGUCUGAGAGGAUGACCAGCCACACUGGAACUGAGACACGGUCCAGACUCCUACGGGAGGCAGCAGUGGGGAAUAUUGCACAAUGGGCGCAAGCCUGAUGCAGCCAUGCCGCGUGUAUGAAGAAGGCCUUUCGGGUUUGUAAAAGUACUUUCAGCGGGGAGGAAGGGAGUAAAGUUAAUACCUUUGCUCAUUGACGUUACCCGCAGAAGAAGCACCGGCUAA